rnacentral:tRNA from 1 species
GGGGUUAUAGCUCAGCUGGGAGAGCGCCUGUUUUGCACGCAGGAGGUCAGCGGUUCGAUCCCGCUUAGCUCCACCA